rnacentral:rRNA from 1 species
CACGUAGGCGGCAUAGCAAGUUAAGGGUGAAAUCCCGGGGCUCAACUCCGGAACUGCUCUUAAAACUGCUAAGCUAGAGAUAGUCAGAGGCAGGUGGAAUUCCUGGUGUAGAGGUGAAAUUCGUAGAUAUCAGGAGGAACACCGGUGGCGAAGGCGGCCCGCUGGGGCUAUUCUGACGCUAAGGUGCGAAAGCGUGGGGAGCGAACG